rnacentral:rRNA from 1 species
UACGUAGGUGGCAAGCGUUGUCCGGAUUUACUGGGCGUAAAGAGCGCGCAGGCGGCCGAGUAAGUCGAAUGUGAAAGCCCCCGGCUCAACUGGGGAAGGUCAUUCGAUACUGUUCGGCUCGAAGAUAGGAGAGGGAAGCGGAAUUUCAGGUGUAGUGGUGAAAUGCGUAGAUAUCUGAAGGAACACCAGUGGCGAAGGCGGCUUUCUGGCCUAUUCUUGACGCUGAGGCGCGAAAGCGUGGGGAGCGAACAGG